rnacentral:rRNA from 1 species
AACGCGAAGAACCUUACCUGGGCUCGAAAUGCUAUGGACAGUCUGUGAAAGCGGAUCUUCCCGCAAGGGACCGUAGUAUAGGUGCUGCAUGGCUGUCGUCAGCUCGUGUCGUGAGAUGUUGGGUUAAGUCCCGCAACGAGCGCAACCCUUGUCCUGUGUUGCCAUCAUUUAGUUGGGAACUCGCAGGAGACCGCCAGGGAUAACCUGGAGGAAGGUGGGGAUGACGUCAAGUCCUCAUGGCCUUUAUGUCCAGGGCUACACACGUGCUACAAUGGACGGUACAAAGGGCUGCCAACCCGCAAGGGGGAGCCAAUCCCAAAAAACCGUUCUCAGUUCGGAUUGCAGGCUGCAACUCGCCUGCAUGAAGCUGGAAUCGCUAGUAAUGGCGGAUCAGAACGCCGCCGUGAAUACGUUCCCGGGCCUUGUA